CCUACGGGAGGCAGCAGUGAGGAAUAUUGGUCAAUGGCCGGAAGGCUGAACCAGCCAUGCCGCGUGAAGGUCAGUGCCCUAUUGGCGUUAAACUUCUUUUGUGCGGGAGCAAAAAUGGGCACGUGUGGCCAGACGAGAGUACCGUACGAAGAAGCAGCGGCGAACUCCGGGCCAGCAGCCGCGGUAAUACGGGGGAUGCAAGCGGUAACCGGAUUUAAUGGGGUUAAAGGGGGCGGAGGCUGUGAGGUAAGGCAGCGGUGAAAUGCCCCCGCUCAACGGGGUGAAGUGCCAUUGAUACUGCCUUGCUGGAUUGCGGCUGCCGUGGGCGCAAUGUGUGGUGUAGCGG
rnacentral:rRNA from 1 species